CCUGUAUGUUCUUCCAUUUAUUUGAAUUGUAGUCCUGUCAUGUAAUGUUGUCAUUAAAGUGUUAUAUCUAACAUUGUCAUACAAGCGGGAGGUUUGGCUAGUCACAAAACCAGGUUCAACUCACCGUUUUGUCUUACAAUGUCCUGUACCAAGUCAGGAAAAUGACCAUUGUUAUAUUAUAGUUCGUUUCUAUGUGUGUUACUUUUUAGUGUUGUGCUAUUGUGUUGUAGUUCUUCUCUUAUAUAUGAUGUGUUUCCCUCAGUUGUAGUUUGUAACCCGGAUUUGUUUUUUUCUCAAUCGAUUGAUGAAUUUCAAACAGCGGUAUACUACUGUUGCCUUUAUUAAACAAAGUAAACAUGAGUUAUAAAUAAACUGUUAUCACAGACAUAGGUCUCGCUUUUUUGUAAUUUUG
rnacentral:lncRNA from 1 species